rnacentral:rRNA from 1 species
UACAGAGGGUGCGAGCGUUGUCCGGAAUCACUGGGCGUAAAGGGCGCGUAGGCGGCUCAGUAAGGUUGCGGUGAAAGCCCGGGGCUCAACCCCGGGAGGCGGAUGGAUACUGUCAGGCUCGAGUUCGGAAGAGGCGAUUGGAAUUCCCGGUGUAGCGGUGAAAUGCGCAGAUAUCGGGAGGAACACCAAUGGCGAAGGCAGCUCGCUGGGACGUUACUGACGCUGAGACGCGAAAGCGUGGGGAGCAAACAGG